rnacentral:snRNA from 1 species
UCUGUUCUUCUCAGUUUAAUACCUGGGACGGAAACGAUUCGUUUCCUCUAUGUAUUAAUCGGAUUUUUGAACUUGGAGUAUGGUGCUGGAGCUUGCUCCACCCUGCUCACGGGUUGUCCUGGUAUUGCAGUACCUCCAGGUUCGGCUCACGUUUC